rnacentral:lncRNA from 1 species
AUGUACUUAAGCGAACUAGCGAAGAAAGGCGAAGAAUGGCUUUGUUCAAGCCCAAGUCAAAAUCUAUCUCUGAUAAAGCAUUCAAUCUUUCAUCUUUAUAUUCAUUAUCUGCAAGUUUCGAGUCCUUCUUUGACUUUCUCCUUCCGGCACUUUUUAGUCAUAGUAAAGAUGUGCUGUAAGGAUCAAGAGUGUACCUUAUUUGUUUUAAAUUCUGCUUCGCUUUCAUCAGCCUUAUUAUGGGUUUGCCUGAGGGCUGCCUUAUAUUCGAUAUACUCCCCUCCCUUUAAUAUUAUUCUAUUUAAUGCAAGAGUAAGGAUAGACGUCUUAUUCUUCAGUGUUGAGAUAGAAUGACUGUAGACCCUCUUCUCUCUUUUAGUUAGCCUUACUUAUUCCAAUUCCUAAUCUAUACCAUAAAGCAAAGCCCUUUUUGCGCAAGGUUCUCUCCUACGUAUACAAUUCUCACUGAUGGGAGUAAUAUGCCAGUAACUAUAGAAGACUUUAUUAUUAUUCUAAAUAGGCGGCAAUAGGUCCAUCGAGAUAAAGUAUGACUAAUAAGUAGUAAUAUAGCUAGUUGCUAUACAUAGACUUGAAGUCAGGGCUUACUCAUCCUAAUCUUCUCUUUACUACUUAGUUAAGUUUAGUUAAGUUAUAGGAUCAGAACGAGAUUUUCUUUGAUUGCCGUUAUAGGAAGUGAGCAAGCAAGCUAGACACGAAAACUCAGGAUAGACGCGCUGCUCUUCUAGCUUUGGUUGGAAAUAGAAAAGCAAGUUAUAGGGCCCAUGCUGCAUUCCCUCAAAUAGCAGUCUUUUUUUAUGUCUAAAGAAAAGUUGCCUAUUAAUAAGCAGUCUUCCCUCUUUCAUAAGGCUCUAACUUGCGUAAGGAAUCAAGGAGCUACAGGAGUAUACCACCGAGUACUUACUAUCUUGGAUAGCUUUUUGCCUUGCAAAGAGCAUAGAUUCAACUUCAAUAUAUGUAGCUAACUCUCUAUUGCUUUAUUGCAAUCCGCUCCGCGCCACUUACUCGGGACUAUAUAGUUCUGUCUUUAGACUUAUACUCUUCCUUCUCUCGUUUACUCAGACAGAUGAGACUUUCCUUCUGCUUGGCCGCCUACUGUUCUAGCUCUCCGAUGUUCCUUGCCCGUAAACUACUACUGCACUUCACUUUCCUGUCUAAAUGUAACCUACCUAUGUCUACCACUUCCCUGGUCUCCUUCUUUUGUUUCUGGUACUCUUUUAUUGCCGUUUGAAACUGCUAAUUCCACCAUUCGUCCCGUCAUCCCUUAGUGUGUCGUUAAUGCGUAUAUAUGAAAACCUAUGGGCUAAAGUAAUGCCACCCAAGGAAGAGAUUCCACUCCCAAUGGUAUCGAACAGGCUUCUAUGAUGGACUGAACAGAACUUUGAGGAAACUACCUAAGAAAAUGAAAAAUCAAAAAGAAAAAAUGAAAAACUUUACGUUGCCGGUUUUAGCAAAACUUAGGGAGAAGACAGCGGAGGAAAUUAGGUGAAGUACUCCAGAUACAAAGUACGGAAAAGUAUCUAGAACUUCUCCCCCUGGCCCUACUCCCCAACCUAGAGUAGCUAAGUGUGGAAGUAAAAUAAACCCCUGUUCAUACAUGGACUUUUCUGGUACGAAAUGGGCCACUUCAAAUAGGUUCAUUGCUCCGGCCCAGAAUACGAUUAAUCCGGCAUGGGCUACGUGAGCUCCAAGUAGUUUACCGGAAAAAUUGAUAAGUCUGGCAUUCCCAGCCCACCAAGUAAAGCCGGUGGUUUCUUGGUCACGACCAGCUAAAACGAAAGUUCCAUUAAAGAGCGUUUCCACGUGGUAGAACCUACUAAGGGAAUAUAAUAUUUUCAUGAGGCUGAUCCUGAGCUGCCAUCCACGCACGAAUACCCUCGUUUAAAAGAAUCUUUUUUGUGUAGAAAGUCUAAAAUGCAGGAUCUUUCGCUGCACGGAUUUCCUGGGAAACGAAGUCAUAGGCAUGUAGGUUCAGAGCCAGGCCAACUACGCCAAUAGCACUCAUCCAUAAACCGGUGACGGGUACAAAUAGCAUAAAGAAAUGUAGCCAACGUUUAUUAGAAAAAAGCAACACCAAAGAUUUGGGACCAAAAGCGGUUAGCAGUGACCAUUGAAUAAGUUUCUUCAGCUUGAGUUGGGUUAAACGGAAGGCACUAAAAAGAAAGAAACAGCCUUGACUUAUUCCUAUCUUCGGUAGACUGAACAAAAAAAAAUAUCGAUUCGAAACCACUGUGACACAAAACACCUCUCUUCCGGGUCAAAAGAUAUGAAACCCAGCUCUUUUUUCAGUUAUUUAUUUCAUUUUUAUAUGCUAUUUCUGAGUGAACUCCAAAUUGGUUCAUAGAGAUAAUACUUGGAAAAGGAAGCUCUGCUAAAAGCAAAAUCGCAAAUAAGUUCAAACAUCAAAGGUACCUGUCUACAUCUACCUACCCGAAGCUACUAAAAAAUCAUCAAGACUUGAAAGCGAGGAGAUACCAAGUAAUGUGACAUGUCGAUACACACAAGAAAGCGCCAUCCAUCCCUCGAACUGAGUGAGGUGACACCUUUUUGACUAUUUCGAUGUAGUGAGAUUGCGAUUGAACAAACAAGAGGGUCUGGUAUUGGAUCCACAAAAGUUCCUACGAUAAUGAAUGGGGUCGGUUUAGUAGAUCUACAACCUCACAUUUUGCUAUAUUUCACUUGGGCGAAAUGAGGCUGCUUUCGCAAAAGAUACGCAGCGUAAUGCCUUAUCCAAAUGGUAUUCCUUGUCGAAACCCCGACUGGGGAGAAGCUAAAAUGCUAACUAUCACUAUUUUUCCUACAAUCUCUUGAAUUGAAAAACAAACUAUGGGAAAUUGGGUCAGGCUGAAAGAAAGAGGGGAGAAAGUCACGCUCAGCAUGGGCAACCUAUGAUACGUUUUCUCCAUGUGAAAGAGCUCAAUGAAGAGGCCACGGGACGAGCCCAUUCCUGAUGAGUGAUUUAGAAAGGAGUGAACGAACUACAGAAUGUAGUGAGCCGCCCGCGCCUUGGUGACCUAACCACUUGAAAAGCAACAAUCUUUUAUUUUACUUAGUCACAAGACGAGUAAGUACCAUUCGAAACAAGGUACCAUUCGAAACCAGAGCCGCCUGCACUUCUUAGCUUGUUCCGCCGCAGAAAAGGCUACUCACCUACGCACCCAUGCAAAGAAGCAGAAAAGGCUACUGUCCCAUGCAAAGAAAUAUAUAUCGAUAUCGGCAAUGCUUCAAGAACUCAACAUACAUGCGCCAUAGUGCCAAUGAUCUCCUUUACCAACUGUUCUGCCCGUUGCUAGUGUUAAGCUUCCACAUUCACUCCCAGGCCGCUGAUGAGACCGUCACUUUGCUAUUCAAUUACCUAGAAAGAAGGCGCGUGCGUCAAUGUUUUGAUUGAGUGAAUGAUCCAUCAAUAAGAUCAAGCUGGAAGGUCUGUCUUGAGUUCAGUUUCUGUCAACGAUGAAAGAAAGUAAAUGAAGUUUAUUCUCAAAUCAAGUCAACAAGUCAAUAUGUAUGUGUCUCUAUUCUAAGAAAAAGAAGAAGGCACCACCACCGAGAACUGACUCCACAACCGAGAAGCGUGUCAGCCUUCCUUAUUCAAUCAACUCUAAUUUAGUACAAGUACGAUCAAGAAAAGUAAGAAGUUGAACCAGAGUCACUAUUAUUAUUAGUAGUAUAGUCAGUUGUAUAUGUACCUGCACGAAUCUUUCAAGUAAGUCAUUAGCCAUAAAAUCCAAAUAGAGUAAGGAGUAAGUGCAUCGACGUCUAAGGGUGUAGAUCAGGACUCAUUGAUUUCAGAUUCCGCUUUGAAGAAGAGAUUCUUGUUCAAUAUGGUUGUUUUUGGCUGAGUGUUGAAGAAGCUACGAGUUUGCAAACAAGAAGGUAGAAAGCGGAAGUAUGAUCAAGACAAAGUGGUAAGGAUUGGGUUGACCUUGCCUUAAGCCUCCCGAGUAGCCCUUCAGUUCCCAGGUAGUGUAGAAAAAGAAGACAGUUCCCAGGUGGUGUAGAAAAAGAAGAAGCCAUUGGACUACAUUCUCAGGAAAACCAGUGGCAGAUCACUUGAAAACAAUCACAGCGAACCCUCCCUCAAACGAUCUACUUUGAAUCACGAAUUAGCGUAUGAAAAGCGGCGAUCUUUCUCUAUUUCUUCCUCUUCCACCAAAACAAACAAGUUGUUUUCGGGCGCAUGCUUCCCCUUCUCAGUCUCUUUCGCACUGUUUGUUCACUCUGAUCUGAGCCCUCAUCCCUGGAUGUCAGUAGCUGUUUCUUCUUCGACGAGCUCGACUCAGAUAUAUCUUCCGCCCGGGUGGCACAAGCAAAGAGAGAUUGCGCUCUCUUUUCCGAGAGAUUCUUUCCAAACUUGUCAAGUAGAUGACUGGCUGGAUAGCGAGUACUACUUUAUUCGCGGUACUAACCUCCCCUCAAGUCCCAGGAAGAGAGAAAGGAUACCAUAUUACAAGUAGGUGGUUUCUUAGAGCUUAUGGCUAAGAAUGCCACCCGCCUUACACACACUCGGAUGAAAUCAUCCUACGUAAGAAGACAAAAGGGAUAAGAAGAAAGCUUCGGGUCUAAUGGAGCAGCUUGAUCGCUAGCUUCGACCUCCCCAUUUCUACUUACGUUACUAUGGAUCAAGCAUUAUUACAGGAAUCUCGGGCGAACCAGAAGGGACAUCGUUCGAGCUUUAGUUAAGCGACUCAUAAGAGGAUCAAUGGGCCUUCCCUUCUCCCUCCGUAUGGAUACAAAGAUGGACAUAUUAGCAGCUUAACGUAUCUCACGACUAUCUUGGCUCAUACUACCACCUCCAAUAAUCCCUUUGGUUGAGGCAUCGAAUGGCGAACCCCGACCAAAGGGAGUGCAUUCCUUUUCAUUCGAUUUCAAGUAGAUACCAAACUUGAACUACGUCUUUAACUGAUUGUAUUAGAAGCUGCCCUAUCAAGAACCACCCUGUAGAAGCAUCUCAACCACCUCACUCGAAUAAUCAUAUAAAAAGAGAAAACAUAGUCCAUCUAUAAGAAGAGGCGUCUACUCCUCCAUUCUCUCGCUAAGGCAUUGGUUUCAAAGUGCAUUUCAGAUCGAUAAGCUCAGAGUUGGGCUGUUUCUUGUAUCUGAUGGAGCAUGAGGUUGGUUCAGCCCUCAAGUGGUGUAAUAGCGGCUUUCGUACCAACAAUCUUUUCCUUUCGCCAGAGGGAAAUAAUUCAUUUAGAGUUUUUUAUACGAGCUACGCAUGACCUUUAUUUAUCUAUCCAGAUGGGAGAGAUUAAGGGAAACAUUGCUUUUCAUAUUCUAUUAUAGGUCAUCGCUGGGAGUAAGGAAUCUAGUUAGUUAGAUGCUUAACCCAAUCCACCAACUCGUGCGUGCAUUUUCUUCUUUGUUUGGUUUUCGGGACCGCACGUACUAGUGAUGGUGGAAAAAAGUGAAGUGAGGCUACUGCAGUCACAGCCCUCUCAGCACCUCUAUCAAUCGAUGAUUCAGCAUCGCAAGAGUCAUGUUUUAGCUGCCCUUCAUAACGUCCCGCUGCCCGAUACAAGACCAAAAGCAGAUCACCUCUUACUUAGUGCCAAUUCUUUCAAAACUAGCCUAGCUUUUCACUCGUGCGUAGGUUCCAGAGGCAUCUUCCAUUCAUUUCGAUUUAGGUCUGGAAUUCCAAUAAGAAAAUGGGAUAAGGUCAAGAAGUAUCAGGUUUUUUCUUUCUUUUUUUGUGUAGGUACCGGUACGAUUAGGAAGCGUUUCCAACUCAGCUCUACCGUCAUAGGUAUGCCGAGUUGUUUAUUAUGCUCCAGUAUCUCUCGGGCUAUAGCCAUCCUAUCCGAGAGGUUUCUCUCAUUAAAUUUUUUUACAUAUGCUAACUGUCUAAACAAAACAACCCCCAAAACGCUAAAAAUCAGACAAAGGAGAAAACAAAAGGGAUAGGGAUGGGCGGUUACGGUAUGCGUGAGAACUUCCGAUAAAUUGGUACAAGUAGCUCCCAUCGGAAAAUGCCAUCUUUUUCAGCUCUGCUCCCGAAAAGAGAAAGGAAAGGAGACUGAUCUUGACGUCGGCGUUGGUUUUUCCAACGAAAAACAAGAACAUUCUUUCCCGAAAAGGCAUUCAUUCAUUGUUCGUUCUGUGCCAGGAACCAGAUUUGAACUGGUGACACGAGGAUUUCCAAUCCUCUGCUCUACCAACUGAGCUAUCCUGACUAUUUAUUGUGCAUCAUCCUAGUAGAGUACUUGUAUCUAUGUCAAUUAAAGGGACUAAAAAAGAAAAAAGUAUUCUCAAAUUGGACUUAGUAAAUAUCAGGAUAAUGAUAUGGAUUGUGAAUGACUUACUUAAUAAUAGGGAUUACUUGCCUAUACUAUAAUAUGUUCAUUUGUAUGAAUGGGAUAAGAUCCAAAGAAGUCAGUUCGGAUCCGUUUGUGAAAGAGUAGAAUAAGAAAGAUAGUGAAUCUUGUUUGAACCAUUAAUGAAAAAUAGAGGUUGGUACAAUAGUUAGGAAGUAAAAUGGGCUUUUUAUUGGGGAUAGAGGGACUUGACUUGAACCCUCACGAUUUAGAAAGUCGACGGAUUUUCCUCUUACUAGAAAUUACAUUGUGGUCGGUAACGUUGGUGAAUUAACAGAAACGGAAAGAGAGGGAUUCGAACCCUCGGUAAACAAAAGCCUACAUAGCAGUUCCAAUGCUACGCCUUGAACCACUCGGCCAUCUCUCCUACAUAAUCUUAUUAUUGACCAGAAACUGAGUGAAUAGCGAGUUUUCGUAUCACUAAAGUACAGGUACAACCGAUUACAGGUUCCAUAGGGAGUUUGACUUCCUUUCCAAUUUCAUAUUUCUCAACAACAACUUCUCUCAUCCCCACGGAUCUAUUCAAAAUUCUGGAAUCGUCCCAUGUUUCUAUUUCGAUUGUAUGGCGUGGCGUAUACACGUUAUGCAAACAGAACGUAUGGUUACUUUACUCUAUUUUCUCAUGGCUUGUUAAACCUUUCUUUUUUCUUUUUGGAUCAUAACCAAAUAAAAACUUCUCGAGUUAUCAGAAUCCAUAGUCAAAUUCAGUCCUUGGUUAUUCAAGUUAGAUGAAAUAGUAAUAGUUUGGCUCACAUUGGUAUACUACGAAAUCCAAUCUGAUUCAAAUAUUGAAUAUCUCUCCUUGUCGGGGCAAUUUAAGCAGAAUAAAAUAUCUAUUAUCGAUUUUUUAGAAUCGAAUUAGUCUGUUUUUUUGCUACUUCGUACUGUAUAAUUCCUUUGUUUAUGGGAUCAUUUUCCCCGAGGGUUUCCAAUCAAUGGGGGCGUAGUAUAGGUAGUUAGAGAGUGUAGGCUCCCCUAGCUUGAAUUCUUUUUACCCAUUCUUUGAGAGUGAUAGGUUUGAUUUUUCCGUACCGUAAUAGAAGAGCUCAGAAGAAAGACCUAAUUAUAUAAAAACACGACCAUUCAAGCUAAAGAUCAGAGGAUCCGUAAUAGGACUCUCAUAGACUUGCCGGGAAAUAGAAAAUUUGGAAUCGGCUUUUCUUUUGCGCUAAAAAAAACUUGAGGCCUUUUCCCUUAUUAUAUGGCAUAUCCAUACUUUAAUAACCUAGUGCCUGAUCGAUUGAAAGCAAUAUUUACUGUCAGAUAGAGAGAUGCUGAUAGGAAAAAGGAUGGUAUUUACUUAUUCUCAAGAAUAUAUAGAAAGGGAAAAGCUUAAUAGCCACUAUUGAUCCCCUGAACAGAGCACAUGAUUCGGGAUCAGGUGCGAUGUGAAGAGGUAGCCUAGCCUUUUAUGAGAGUCAAUUGGGAAGUGGAAAGGCAAAACCAUUAGUUUAAGUUCCCGGCUUUAGUCCUCUGUGAAGUUCAGUCAACCAUUUGAGUCAAUUUUGAGUAAAUAGUAAGACUUCGGAUCGCACCAUUCAUAAUGUUGCAUCUCAAUACUUGGCAUCUUUUUCCCACUGCUGGCUCAUAAAUUCGCCUUGGUUUCACCGGAAUUCGUUUAUUUCGUUCAUUAAUUCGUUCUGAUAGCUACGCAGAGGUCUUUCCUUACGACUCCCGUGCUUAAUACGAAAAGCGGUUCUUGUGUGAAAAGUGCCAACUGACUAUCUCCUUAUUUUCUGAUUGUUCUUCCGAUAGGAAUAUUCCCUUGAUCAGCUAACCUGGCCCAAGCAUAACAAUAGUGCAUUUCCCCUUGAUGGUACGAUUUACAUAUCUUCUACCUCUGCUACUUCUGUUCAGGAAGGUUAGUUUAGGCACUCCAUCCCUGAGGGCUGCAUCAGCUUAUCUUUCUAGAAAUCCCAGCUAUAAGCUAGAUCGGUAUAAAUAGGGCAUUAAGCAGCAAUAACAGAGAUAGCAUCCAUGAGUUUUUUAAUCCAUCCUUUAGCAUCGCCUGACUCGGACAAGGUGUUUCCUUCCUUCGCAAUACCCGGCCAGGGCAAUGUAGCUAUCCCAAUAAGAUAUGAAAGCUGGGCCACACCUGAGCAAGGAACUUAUACAUAGAAGUAACAGUAAAUGUGCAAGAUUUGGACCACUGCCAUUUCCUUAAACCAUCAAUCAACAAAUUGAAAUAGAGAUAUCGGUAUCUUCCAAUCUGCCACAAGGAUCUAGUCGCCAGUAUCUUUGCCUUCUUCCCAACUUAUCCCAGCAUUCCUUGUAAGCGUUGCUAUCACUAUUUCUCCCUCCGGUGGCCUUGAGGCGUCUCGAUCAAUCGGUGUAUCCGCCACAGGACACACCUCCUUCUCUCAACCAUCCGAACAAGAAGAUUUUAGCACUAACCCUCCUGCAGCUUUCUUUCCGACCGAAGUACCCCUUUUCUUUGCACUACUUUCGAACCAUAUCAGGAACAAGAGCUUAUGCGUUGCUUUCUUUUCGCAGUACCCGCCCCCAGGGGUCAUUACUUGAUGAAGAGUGCUUCCCCUUUGAGCACCUUAUCUUGGCCAUCAAUAUAAUUAAUCCAUCCUGCCUGUCUAGAUAUUGCUGUUAAUACACAGGUUGAUUGUAUGACUAUGGCAUAGUGAGUUCUGGCUCCUAGCUGACAUACUGAAUACAACAUCGAAGCGGGUCUAUCUUAUUCCGAUGUAACGAUUCCAUUGAAUAUUGUGAUAGCAUCCUUGAUUUCAGCUAGCUAUUCUCAGUGAUAUGCUUGCUCCUCUUGGAUUUCAUUCCAUGAUAAGUAUGUAUUGGAAGUUGGAAUGCCUAAAGUAUUGGUGCAUUAGGGUCCUCUUAAGCCUUGUUUCCUUCUUGAUCUUACCUUCCGUUGCUAUCACUCGCUCUAGCCUCUCCUGGCCAGAGCUCCCUCUAUCAACAACACCCUCACGCGAUUGAUUCCCUGGAUAAGUAUGGCUCAUAUAAGGUAUCCUGAUCAUAGUAAUUGUAUCAUAUCUCCUUCUCCUAUUGAUCUUACCAUCCCUCGAGUCCAAGUCUCGGGAUGGCGCUUAUUAAGGUCCUGUUUCCCCUUGACAGGAUCUUCCAAUUCUGGUAUCCCUGAAGAGCAUUUCCUAGUAUGUAUUUACUAACCUUAAACGAUAGGAGCCGUAUUUAGAUAGAUAUCCUAUAAAUCUAUUGAUUUUCAUUAGCUUGUAAAUUCCUUGUGUGAAAUAACUCAGAAAUUCAUUGUGCUAAACUUGUAUCUAUGCAGUACUGUUUAAUGUGGAAGAAGUGUUUUUGUUACUAACAACAUAGAAACCAUGAUACCAGUGCAUAAGCAUGAAAAACUCACUUUGUGAUCAGAUUGAUCAAGGUUGUAGUCAUUCGAAUUUACUACUUCGUUAAAUGAUGGCUGUUUAAAGGUGUCUACCAUAGUUUGUUUGGACAAUGUCCUUAGUAAUCAGGUAUGUGACCUUCUUAUAACCCACGACAUUGGCAUGAUAGGUGUUAAAUACAUCCAGUGAUGGUGGAGCUAAAUCAGCAGGUUUUAUAUAUGGAUCCCAAGGUAUAUACUUAUACCAGAUAGUACAAAAUAACCCUGCGUAUACUAGAAAAGCAAAAUAACCGUACACAUACGACUUAGAAUUCUCAUCAGAAAAUGGUAUUACUACUUCAACCAACUUGUUUAUGAUUUCACGUUUCAAAAGGGAUUUCAAACCAAGACCGCUAUGUGAGAAUCGCUGAAUAACAUCAAAAGUAUCCCUUAAGUAAAUAUUAUCGAUAAAAAACAAACCUAGCGAAUCAUUUAUUUCUUUAAACUUAUCAAAUAUAUACAUUUAUAUUGUCGCCAGCCUACCUGAGCGUGGAACAAAUAUUUUAUAUAUACAUAUUCCAUAACUAGAGUUCCAUAAUUGUGAAACGUGGUAUAUGGUCGUACGCUAACUCCUAUUUGAAAGUCGUGUGGCUCUCUAACAAACAUGGAAAACAAACCUAUCCUCGGCAUCCAACUAUUAUAAAAGAAUGGAAGCACAAUUGUUGUUGGACCUAUAAACCUUAUUAUUUUGGCAAUAAAACCAUUUAGACCUCUUUGAUCUAAAUUGGUAAAUGUUUUUUGAUUUUUCACAAAUCUAUCAAUAGGUGAAUUCAAGUAGGAAGUCCAACCACUGUUGGAACUAUCUCCACCGUUUGAACUACCACCACCCCAUAUAAAAUGGUGGAUUAUACCAUGAUCGUCGUGCUUAGGUGCACUAGUUUUCACAUUUGGAUUUGUUCCAUCAUUAGUGGAACUAGAACCAUCAUUAGGGUUAGGGGAAGUAGAAGUAGAUGCAUCAUUACUGCCACUAGAUGCAUCAUUGUUGAUAGGUUCUUUAGCUCCUUCCUCAUCCGUUAUAUCUUUUUUCUUGGAUUUCUUAUUAUUGUGGAGUUUUUUAUCAUCAUCUUUUUCCCCGUCUCUAUUGUAUAACGAAUUAAGUAUCUUCUUAAUGGAUUGAAAGAAUUUCUUCAUGAUAACAGUAUUUUCUAUUACUCUCUUAUUGGUGGAUUUCCUCCGCUUAAUUUCGAAAUUUACCCAGCCUUUUGAGUACUAGGAUCUCCCCCUUAUCCUAGCAGAUCGGUACCCAGACCAUAUCCUUGGGCAGCUCGGAUGUAUCUAUCUUUUCGUUCAGAUCACAUCAUCUCGAGCGCGGAAUCUUAUUAGUGGAUCAGAAGACUAUGGUGACCCGUAGAUCUUCAGAUGUUGAUUUGCAGAGCAGGGCCGGAAUGCGGGGAUUGCAUUCUUCGAAAAGUAUCAUAUCUUCUUUCCCUAGGGAGAAAGUAGAAACCAGAAACGAGUGGAGGUUCGAUCUCUCACCCAAAGCAAUUGGGGCUGGUUGAAUCUUCCCCUAUAGACUCCAAAAAAUCAUCGUGUACCUUUCCCCUAUAGACUCCGAAAAAGCAGCGUGUACCUUUCCCUAAAUCCUUCUCCCGUGCAUGCUAUUCUCGUGUUCCGUGAUUAGAAAAGACCUGUUUCUUGUUUUCUUUGAGGUAAUAAACGAGCUGUAUCCCGCUUUGCCUAUCUUGAUGUGGAAUCUAUCGUUGAGCACCCAUGAAUGCAGGUAGAAGGUGUUUUUUCUUAACUCUUUCCAGGCCUCAGCUUGAUUGGACUUUGUCAGCUCUUGUCGUUCAGCUUCCUCUCUCCUCUCUCUCAUCUUGUAUCUCCGUAGACGGCGUUAAAAAGUAAACAGACUUAAAGCAAAGUAGGUUCGAUCCUUGUGUUCUAUUAUAUGAAGUAGAAGAAGAAAGAGCCGGGGGGAUGGUCUUGGCACCCAUGGGUUAAUGGUGAAAGCGCUCAAGGAAAUAGGGAAUGGAAUAUUCAAAUCGAUCAGAAGUGCUAUGCUUUAUGUAAUCAGGCUGAAGGCUAACAUCUCGCGAGUAGGCCGAGCUAGGAUAAGAAUUCCAAUCAAAAAAGAAGUAUGAAUUGGGCCCAAAAUCACUACUUUACUACCUAUGUCGCGUGUCGCGCCACCUAGUACGAUAGACUUUUUGCGGGAAAAGAGCUGGUUUUGCCCCAACUUGGACCCAGGGAAACCAAAGAAGAGCUAGUUUCGCCCUGUUUAGUUAGCGGUGGAUGAGCUGAUUUCUUUUCACUCCUGUUUCAGAGAUACAAAACAAAAGUAAAGUGUAGAACGCAAUGUUUGAGCUCCAGGCUUUUACGAUUCUUCCGAUUGACUUCUCUUCUCUGCUCCUAGCUCCGAAUGCUAGUAUGUAGAGAAGUGAUGGAAAGGGCUGUGCUCUUUCAUUUGAGAAACUUCCAACCAAAAUAGGAAUGUUAGAACAAAAUAUUUAGAUACAGGUCCCUUAUGAAUACUGUACUGAGUAAGAUUCAUUGAAGAAAUGCUUCUCCGAAGCAAUAAUUUUGUGGCACAAGCAUAGUCUUCUGCUAACCUAGCCUUUCCCAUCUUUCUAUCAAAACGAAUGUAGCUAACGUGAACUAAAAGCAAGCUCUUGUUCGAGGAAGUAGAAAUUGUUAGUUGUUGCUAGCUUGAACUGAGUUGUUCCUGUUGGUGCUAGGGUUGCCAAGGGAGUUGUAGCGAGAUGCUGCUAAUGCAGCUAUUUCUGAUGUCCGGACGAUGCAGCGGAAGUGAAAAGAAAAAGAUAUGAUGCUUAGACCGUUCAGACAGGGAUGAUGGAUUUCUAGAUAUAGGGUUUAUUUGAAUGUCUGGCCAAAUGCUUACUUUCGUUAUGCUUGUCCUGCAAAGCUGGAUCUAUGGUUCGGUUGCUUUGAAUGUCUGUUCCGCCUCUGACCCGGCCCUUACCUCUUUCUUGACUCGGUUUUUCGCAGGGGCAUCGAAUUCUUUUACAAAAGAAACGCCAGUUUCAAAAGGAAUGGCACCGAAAGGUGUCAGAUGAUGAUUGAACUGAACUAUCUGAAUCUGAAACCGCCGACCCGACUCGUGCUUUUUUGGACUCCGCUUUUGCAGGAUCCUGUGAGGCAUCAAAUUCUUUGGCAAGUCUCUUCUUGCUAGUGUUGUACUCGUUUUAUUCCUUCGCCCGACAUGCUUUCGUGAUAAAAGAAUCAUAGCAACAUAGCGUGAGGUUCCAUAGGUUGAUGAGCCUGAUCAGUCGUGUAAGCUAUUUACUACAGCCGUCUUAGAUGGCCCCAGGUAUCCUCUUCGGCUUGAUCUUUCCUUUGCUUCGAUCGCCAACUUGCACUUCCUUAUUCCACUAUUGCGAUAUCUUUGUCCUGGACAAAGACCAAGAGCUGGUGCAGGUGAAAGAAUAGCUUAUGGGGCUGGAGUCAAAGGAGCUUUCAUAGACAUAGAAAUCAUAAUAGAAAGAGCAGGCCUGCGAGCAGCGAGUGCCCUUUGUAAGUUGCGAGCCUGCCUUACGCCCCCCCUUUCUUUUUUGAAUUAGAAAGAAGGGGAUGAAUUCGAAAGAAAGAGAUCAGGUUAUUUAUGAUCAGAGAAAAGGAAGGGGCGUGGUUGAUGUGUCACUGGGGAACCCGUAGGAAGGGGAGACGACCGGCCUCAUUCACAUCUGAAAUCGCCAACAUGAACACAAACGAAAUCGUCUGAAUUUCGUAUAGAAAGAAAAAAAGGAAACAAGUAAAAAAGCGUGGUCCCCGGGGAUAGGUACUUCGUCCGGCACGGUAUCAUUGCUGAGCGAUCGCUCGCUAUCUGGAAAUGGAGUGUUAGUUUCAAAUAGAGAUUGUGUGGGUGUGAAGUGUACUGAAGAUCGAGGUUUUUCUUCUUACUAACUUUGUCAAAGAGGCUAAAAAAACAAUAAAUGACCAACGAAACUUCGAGUGAGUAGGAUAAGGAGGAGUAGUCGGAGGAUCUGAGAAGGGAAUUAGAGAAAAAAGAGCAGCAGCUCAGUAAUAACACCUAGGCUUUUGAAUUAACUCUGCGAUUUGGAAGACGGAGGAAAUGAAAGUAGAAGAAGUUAUCGAAACUCGGAACCACAUGUUCAAUCUUUUUUUAGCGGUUUCCCCAGAGAUCUUUAUCAUUAACGCAACCUUCAUUUUGCUCAUUCAUGGAGUUGUAUUUAGUACCUCUAAGAAACAUGAUUAUCCACCGUUAGUUAGUAAUGUGGGUUGGCUUGGAUUACUUAGUGUUGCGCGCCAAGGAGGGCAGCGCGCUUGGGAUGCGGAGGAGCUAUUAUCGCCCAAGUCCCUAACCUAAUGCGGCCGGACCGCAGGGAACCCUAGCAUGGGGGGACGUCCUAAUCGUACGCAGCAGGAGCAAGGGAACUCCCCUGGUUCAGGAAGGCACAUGAGUCCGAACGCUAUUAUGAAUGUGCGACCGACACUACACUACGUAGGUACCUGUGCAUGCAGGUGAGGCGUCGGUCGGUCCUAGAAACGGCGGCAGCUAGCGAGGAGUUAACGACCGGACGUGCUGCAACCUAGGGAUCACCAGGCAGCUCUUUCGCUCUAUNNNNNNNNNNNNNNNNNNNNNNNNNNNNNNNNNNNNNNNNNNNNNNNNNNNNNNNNNNNNNNNNNGGGGGGGCAUAGCACAAUUCUUCUUGGAGGAGGGUUUUGGUUUGCCCAGGUGACUGAUCCUGCCAUAAUAUACUCCCGCCAAUUCUAUUGCACCGGCAACCGAAGUCGAACAUACAUACGACGAUCUUCAUGCGUGAAGGGACGGGAGGAAAGAAAGGGCGGUAGAUGAUAAUGCGAAAGGGCGCCGCGUCUGGCUUGAUAGUAAAGCCAAAGAAAGACGCCCCAAGACAAGAUACAAUUGUUGGGAAGGGGACAUGAUCAAUAGAACCUGGCUGGAUCCGGGCUGGGAUAGUGGCGCCCAUUCCUAACCAGUUCUGAAAAGGUUCGCUCAUGCUGGAGGUACUAACCACUUAGUGAUCGGUCCGCUAGUUCACGCAAAUCCGAAGAAGUUAUCACGGACGAGCCACAUGCAGGGAAACUUGCACGUGUGGUUCUGGCCGGGCUUUCCUUCGGUAUCUAAUAACCUUGCUUCUGCUCGCCGCUGGCGCACCUCUCCUAACUAUUGCCCAUUUAUUCUGGAAUAAUUUUUUUAGGAGGGACAAUUUUACAUAUUUCUGCCAAAUCCUUCUAUUAUUAAGUACGGCUAGUACCAUUUCGAUGUGUUUCGAUUUUUUCGAAAAAGAGAGGUUUGAUGCUUCUGAAUUCAUUGUAUUAAUUCCACUUCCUACUCGCAGUAUGCUCUUAAUGAUCCCGGCUCAUGAUUUAAUUGCCAUGUAUUUAGCUAUUGAGCUUCAAAGUUUAUGUUUUUAUGUGAUCGCAGCAUCAAAAAGAAAGUCUGAAUUUUCCACGGAAGCCGGCUCAAAAUAUUUGAUCUUAGGUGCAUUUCCCUCUGGAAUAUUAUUGUUCGGGUGCGACCGGACUACUACUGAUCAAUUUUUUGGAAUUUAUUUAUAGACUUGUAGAGACCCUCUACGUAGUUGUAAUUCUAGGGCAAUCGAUCCACUUUCCCCAUAGCCCUAAGGCUGUGUCUCGAUCUCCUACGCGCGAAAGAUAAGAUACGGGAGACGGGGUCCUAUGGUAUGGGUCUUCGACCCUUGGUCUAAUUCCACGACGGAGAGUCGGCGUGGCGUAAAGUGAAGAUUGGGGGGAAUAGAGCGAAAUCCCCGUCUGGGGUAUUCCGAAGGUGUAACCUAGGCAACGAAAAACGGGCCCGAUACUUCAACUAAAGGAGCGACCUGUUGGUUCACCAAACCCCGACCCAGUGUCACACGUUCUCCAGGUCCGAAGGGAUCCAGUGCCCAACUACCGACUCCUCCCGGAAUUGCGUUAUCGGAGCCGAGCCAGGAAUAGCCGUUAGUGGACACCUACCACUUUUCACCGGUUAGAGAGGCCCUCUUUAAUACAUUAAGAAAAUAUGUUCACAGGGGCCAGAAAGACUCGGUCAUAGGAACUUAGACCACCUACGCGCUGGUAAACGAAAACCACCUCGACCGGAUCUACCGAACGAAGAAGGCCGCCCCGUCGAAAGAAUUAACACGCCAAAAGGGCCACCAGCUUUCCCCCAAAAAGGGGAGAUCCGCUGCUUACUGCUCACGGAAACAUCCGACCUUAUGGUCAAGUCGUCCGCCUAUCUUUCUGAUUUCAUUCGUUUUCCGAUCGCAUAAAAAGUCAUGAGAUCAAAAAAGAAAUGUGAGAAUGUAGUUACAGAUGUAAAAAAAGUCAAUAUCUCGUUCUCUUGGUCCAUAGAUGGGGCGUCCUAUCCGAUGGAUGAAUGAGGAGCCUCUGUCGAGUAGUGAAAUGAUAGGAUUCUUCUUUUCGGUUAAACCGAAACACAAGUCGGCGAUUCAAGCCAAGAGUGCGGGCACCUUAAGAGCGGUCAAAGCUAGAAGCUAUAUCAUGACUGCUGGAACGAAAGACCCGAUGAGUAUUUUCGUACCACCUUCCAAUCUUCUUAGUCAAUUGUGUACUUUUCCACUAGGCGAGACAUAAGUUAUCGGAAUCCGGGGCCUGUUUUUCCCUAUUUCCCAAGGGGAAUGUCAAAUUGUGUGGUUUCACAGUCUUAUGAGACAGAAAGUUUUGGAAAAUGGAGCUGCCGUUUUCACUACUUUGGUCCCUAGCGAUAUUGUUGCUUAAACUAACAUGGAAAGUGGGUUCAAUCACUUUAAAGUGCCCUCUCAAGUGUCAUCUCAUAAUGGUAAUCUCCUUAUGGUAUAGUAAUUUGGCUUAGAAUAAGAAACCUAUCUCUUCCCCCUAAUGGCUUUUCACUACCCCUUGCGGGAAUGCGUAUCGUUGCUGCAUCGCCACUGUAUUCCUGACUUGCUUUUCCGAACUGCUUGUUUUCUCGGGGCUGCAGUCCAGUUGCUUAGUGGUUUGCUUCUCGGUCUACCCAAUCAAGGUUAGACCUCGCUCUAUCAACCAUUGCUUUAAAUAGUAUCAUGUUAUUUCAUCUUUCAUUGAUACCAUCAUUACAAUUGAGGGCCUACAAUCCAUGGAAAUCCCUAUUCCGAUCACUGGGAAAGAAGAGCAAGUAAGUAAUGAAUGAAUGAAUGAAUUUAGAUGGUAUAUAAACAUCUCCCCAUGAAGGGAAGGUGCUAUAGUAUCUAACUAAGAAAAAAAGUAGGUUGUGAAAUGAUAGGAAAUAUGCCAUGCAGAAAAUCAAGGAAAUAUUUCCUGGAUUUUCGGAUGACCCGGCUUAUCUUUGCAGUUAUCCUUAUUUAGCAGAAUCUAGUGAGUGUUCCAUUAAAAGGAAAGAGAGCUAUUCGUUGUAGGAUUGAUCCAGACAACCCAACCUAAGUCACCUAUUGCGCCUAACCUAAGUAUAGUGCCAGUGGUCGGCGAGGAGAAGUUCAUUCCUGUAGAGAAGAGAGGGGAUCCUAUUUCCUUUCCCCCUUUCCCAGUAUGGCAACCUUAUCUUCCAGCAUGAAAGUUGGUAUCAGAAUGAAACAAUCCAAUCCAUACUUGUGGAGUGCUCAGUUCAGUUCCUGAUUUAUCUCAAGCCUAAACCGGAAAAGGAAACCUAUUACCCGGGGUCCCCCCUUUCGGCUAUCUCAUCUGCUGUUCCUCGACUCUCAGGAAGGUAAGAUCAUCAAUCAAUAGUAGGCUGCUGCUCUGUGCAGUUAAAGAUGGGAUCCAACCUGUUCUGUUUGCUUGUUUCCUAUAAUCUGUGCUCGAUUCCAUAUUUCUGUAUCCUUCGAUUCCCGGGACAGAUCUGAUCUCCUUUAUACUUACCUCAAACAACGAGCGAUGUCGAGAUGUUGAUGAGAAAGGGGCUUUUCUCAAGGCCAUAGAGUGCUCUUUGAAGGCUACUAUGCAUCCUUACGAAUACAAGAGUGGUUUUGUUUUGUUUUGGGUAUAGCAGGACUUGAACCUGCGACCAUUAGGUUAAAAGCCCAAUGCUCUACCAACUGAGCUAUACACCCGAUUUUACAAGAAGGCUUGGUGCGGAAAAGAAAAGAGGGCGGCCUGGCCCCUUUUCUUCUUAUCAUAUCACAAGGGCGCGGCUCUGUAUGGUAUAGUACUGUGGAGCAAGUCUGGGAGUCCUUUCCACUCAUUGAGGAUUCUAUCUAAAAAAGAAGGUCAACGGGGGAGACUACAGUAGCUCGAACUCAGACUAUCUACGAAAAAGGUAAAGUCGUCUUUCCUAGGGUUCGACCGAAAGGAGCUGUGUUCUAUGGUUUGACGUUGUGGAGGUCCAGCACUCUUCUAAACGAAGAAAGAGGGGAUUCGCGCUACCUCCUACUCCUACAGAAGAUCAAUUGGCGCGAACUUCCGAUCGAUUCCUUAUUUAUUGUUGCCGACCCUUACAUCAUCAUAAAGAGAAUCAAGAUAUCCCAAGAACCCAGCUAGGGAUGAAUGACUAGCGCUCAAGAACAAGCAAGGGAUGAGCGCACGGGAGCGGCGUUGCUUGUUGUUUUAUUAUCACAUUAGAGAAGCGGAACCUCCAAGCUCAGACAUCUCGAACUCAGAAACUACCCUUCUAUCCCACCCUGCUCCUCCGGCAUCGGAAGCAGAACUACCUGACCGAAGGAGAUAGACAGGAAGGGAAGACGGUCAUACAAAGGCCGAAUAAAGCUCUCUUGAAGCUGCAUCUGAAUAGACCUAGAGUCACUCAGUACAUACGAACCCUUGAAUAAAUAAGAAUUGAGAAGUAUGAAAUGUGGGCAUCAUAACAAAAAAAGAAAAAGACCGAACCAGUAAGACUAAUGUCUACUUAUUUAUACCUUUGAGAGGUCCACUUAGACUAUUAUGAUUUUCUCUUUAGCUACGUAGGUUAUAUAAGAUUCAAUUCAAUCUAACAAGCGGACUGGACUACCUUCAGCUACUACAAGAUAUUUAGAAACCUAAGAAGCUGAGCCUACUUUACGCACUUAAGGCAGCAGCAGAUGAUGAAGAAAUGGGCGGUAGAUGAUAAUGAGAAAGGGCGCCCCUUGGCAUUUCCUGUGGGGGAGUCUGAUUGAUCCAAUCACGACGAAUGAUGUCAACCCCCUCUUUUGCGCCUAACUUGACUCUGAUUCUCCCACUAUGAGAGCUGAUCCAGGGGCUAGUUCGGCUACAGACUGGAAUUUACGAAAGCCCCCCGUCUUUCCGACUCAAUGUAUUGCCCUUUGGGACCAGGAUCUGACGAGGAAGUGAGAGAGGGGACACCAAACAUAGGUGCGUACCAUUGCCCCAAUCCAAUGGACUAUGUCAUACAGGGAGGAACCCUUGGAGGUUGGGAUAGAAAGAAAGCAGGUUUUGCUUCUGCUUCCUUCGAGCUACCAAACUCUUUCGUCAGGUGUGGGUCAAGUUCCCUCAUUAUUGCUUGACUUCCCCUUUGGGGCACGAAAAGAUGGACUAGGACUUAAGUAAGGGAGAGGACAACCCCUGUUUCUGGCUUACCUUCAACGAGUGAGUGCUAUUCCCAUUCCUUACUUUGAUCCGACCCUGUUCCCCGACCAGUUUUCUUGCUCACUAGAAGAGUCAAGCGAGAGCAGCUAGUUUAGAAGGAAAAGGACACCUGGGGCUAUUCGGCCUCACUUGUCGGAGACUGAACUACCGCUCGCUUACUUGCUGAUCAAGGAGGUCAUUUCCACUUACUCUAAGCAUAGAAGGAAGAAGAUUGAAAAACUAACAAACAAAUUGUCUUCAGCCCUACUUACUUAUAGGCUGACUUGGCCCAGGAAACAAGGUUCUAUUAGGCUUGCAGGGCUUAAAAAAGAAUGAGCUAGAUCGCAGGUAUUUGGAUACGAGGUAGUAGCGGGGUCUAGUCGAAGCGGUGCGCAGUGUACAAAGGCGAGUCUCACGGGCAGUGGCACGUGAGGGGUCUCCCGUACUUCAUGGAAGACGCAGUUAGGGAGUUGGAAGAUGCACUUUGGACUCCUGCACCAGUAAGAAUGGAACUGGAAUAAAAAGUCGGGGUAGCUAGUCACUCCAUUACUGAGGAAAGAGAGGAUGGCAUUUCCAUAAGUAGACUCUCCUUCUUACUGAAUCCUUAUCCUGCCCUCUCUACUCGGGAACAAUUCAUUCUUAACUCGUACAUAAGUUCCGGGCGUCGACAAGAGAGUUAGCGAUCUACAGCUGGUUCGGUGGACUGGUGGUGACACGGGCGGGCCCUCUACUUUAUUUGCCGAAUCCAAUCGAUCAUGGGCGGCCCUCUUCGUUCACAGUCUUUCUUUCCUUUCGAAUCCAAUUGUUCCAAUCUGACCAAAUAGCAAUUCAUUGAAAUCAUUCGGGUCACCUCUUUUUUAAGCACUUGACCAAGCCUAUUUCUAUAGAAAAGGACAGGAAUCUAUUGACUUUGAGUCUGUCUCCUACUACGAAAUUGGAACUGAACACAGGAUGGCAAUAGUGAGAAAAAAAAUCCCCUCGUACUACGUCAUUAUUUAUUCGAUUUUCCCUGGUAAGUGCUCCAGAUGCAGUUGCUUUAGUUGACGUAGUGAGUGGAACCUAAUUAUCUGUUUCCUUGAAUACCAGAGUUGCCUUUUGUAGAUGAGAAAGCCAACAAUUUUGCAAGGAGUUGAUAAUUGCACUUCAAGUAGUAAGUUUAAAGACAGUUGAAACUUAAUGGCACCGUUUAACCAAGCACUCUUGUAGCUUCGGAAACUCCGUGUUCAGAUCGGUGAGGCAAGAGACGAAUUCAUCGUCAGUUACCUCCACGAUAUCCAAAAUACCCUCAAGACCAUGAAGACAGAUAAUGAGAGUCAGGUUCAAACAAUUCAAGGAUUGUAAAUACCAUAACAGCAAAGUAGAAUGCACCAAAUUUGUCCUAUUACCGGUUCCAGGAAGAGCACACCAAAUGAAAGAAACUAUUACUCAAAAAGCGAAUCACAUCUCGAUCCACAAACUGCCAAAAGCCUUUGUUAUUCCAUUCCCAGUGGAACGUCAACCUGUUUAACAACAAUUUUCUAAGAAACUUGCUGAAUUCCAAAUGAAACAACCUUAUUUUCAAGUGACAGGCAAUAUCCAUUUCAACCAAUUAUUAAAGAUAAAAGGGCUAACUGCACAGCUAAUUGAAUUCCUUUUCGAGGUUGAGUUCAUCUUGAAACCGCAUUUGCUUCCUAAUUAAACUGAGAAAAAAUAAGAAUAUUAAAAGAAAGACUCCACAGAACAUGAAUGAAUUCAGGUACAUCACAUCAGGCUGAUAUGUGCCGGUAUCAUACCUGUUUCAAGAUUCUGGCUAAGCCCUUCUUGUUGCCACAUAUCCAGUUUCUUCUAAGGUUUCUGGAAUUGCUCAAGUUCCUGCUCAACGCUUCUUGUCUAGCUCCAGUCUAGCACUUGUACCAGUCGCCUACCAGAUCACGGCUUUGCUCCAAUUCUACUCUCCAAUUAUGCAAUCCUCUCCAAAAUUGGGGCUUUUCUUCACUUCAGCACUUCCCCUCGCAGUGGAUUCCACUAGGUUCUUAACCUCUUCCCAAUUCUUAAACUGAAACCUGCGAUGUCUAAUCCAACUCGGCACCUAACCAGCUUGCCAGCAUUGUAAGUUUGCCUCAACAUUCCCCCUAGAAAUACAAAAAUAAUGUAAAUCUACUUUCAUUUAUUUAUUAGGGAUGAGACUUUCUUUUUCUUUUUCUAUUUUCUAGAAUAAGUAUGCUCUGGGGUAAAAGGAUUCGAACCUUUGCAUGCCGGUACCAAAAACCGAUGCCUUACCACUUGGCUAUACUCCAAACGGGGGGAAGGCUCGAUGAAAACGAGUUGGGAUAUAGAUUUUUCAGAAGGAAGAGUUAGUUACCCUCGGUCUUCCUUCUUUCCCGGGAAUCAAGGAAGUAGUAGCGGGACAGUCCUUUAUUUCCCCCUUUUGACCAACUACAACAAGCUCGCUCCUUAGGUUAGCUCUCUGCUCUACCUAUUUGUUUGCAAUGCCUUGCUUAUCAAAAUAGGCCUUUCUGUAACCUGACCUUACGCUGAAAAACUACACUUGUUGGCUCUGCGUCCACUGAAACUUAUGAAAAAGAAAUGUUAUUCUAUCGAUAUCUUCAAGAGUUCCCUAACCCCCUGACAGAGAGUGCUAUGAUGGGCUAUUGAAGUUCGUCCCUGCGGCACGGUGGGGCAGUGCAAAUCCUUUCAUUAAUGAAGUUCCGCCCUGACACUCCCAUUAUUGGCUUCCUUCCCUGGGGACCGCUCGGGCGAAGGCAGAGCAUGGAAUGAUCGUAGGGGCAUCCUUCCUAGGUGGAAAAGACGUGUGUGACUAAAACCAGGAGGAGAAAUCCAUUUUCAAAUGGCGACAGAAAGAAAGGAAUCACGAAAUAGAAGAAAAAGUGCACUGUGCUGGCAAAUGUGGAGAAUAGCCAUCCAUCUUUCAUCAAUGAAAUUGUUCCGUAUGGGUAGCAAAUACACAUAUCAGAAGAGCCAACCCGAAAGCACUUGCUUCAAAGAAGCAGCAGUUACCAAGAAAUUCCUGUUUCAAGUCAGUAUAUCUCGAUAGAACCAAUUCCAAUCCAGGUAGUGUGAACAGAGGAUGUGGAAGUUCUGUUUCCUUGCCUUGUCAAGCAUUUCAUCUGACACUCUAUCUAUACUAUAGCUAGAUCAAUUCCUAUUCUUUCUUCCAGGCGACUUUACUCCAAAGAAUUUUUCCUUCUUAUCUUGACUCGAUCUCAUGAAAUUGGAUUGAUUGGCACACCGCGCAUCUGGCAUUCGCUUCUCCUAUCUAUCUCUUCCAACUAAGCUGAUCACUGGAAAAUAUGAAAUCCUGCAAGCAAUCAUUCCAGAGCCAACUACGAAGAUACCUGGUCUUCCACUCUGUUCACUGGAGGAAAGACAAGAAAGUAAACAAUUCUUCAAAGGAAUUGGCUC